GCCCCAGUGGAACGCCUCCUCAGAGCAGUGCACGGCAGGCCCCCGCAGAGGGUCAACGCAGUGGCUGAACACCGGGAAAGAACUGGCACUUGCAGUCUGGACAUCUGAAACUUGGUACCUGUUAUUGAGUGAGAUAAGCAAAUGGUAUUUCAGGACCAAAACAUCUGUUUCCUGAAGAGUUGCUCCUUUAAUUGUGUAUCUACCUACCUGUCUAUGUAACUCUUGGCAAAUACAUUGGAGACUUCUCAACUUUCUGCUUCUGAUGAUCUCAACUUGUGGUAUGGCAAAAGGAGAGCAAAAUGUUCACCCAGGGGUCUGAGUUUGGUUCAAGAGAGGAACUACAGCUGUUGGUGACUACAACCAUCUGCCCAGAUGACAUCGUGAUCAACUCCUCUGAAUCACUCUAAAGGAACGAGAAGUCCUGGCAGCUGAGUCAUGAUCCCCCAGGAGCCAUUAAGAAGUUAAUCUUCAGUCACUUCCAUCCAAACAGAAGAAAACCCAUGAAGGAUGAGAACUAUGGGUCCUGAGAAUGACAGAAGCAGAUCAAGAAACUGGCGAUUGAAGAGUAACUGAAAGAAACGCAAUCUGAUCUUACUAGCAGUGAAAGAGCGAGUCUCCCUCUGAUGCCGAGCAGAAGCUAGACUGUACUGCUGCCAUCUCAGCUCACUGCAACCUCCCUGCCUGAUUCUCCUGCCUCAGCCUGCUGAGUGCCUGCAAUUGCAGGCGCGCCGCCACGCCUGACUGGUUUUCGUAUUUUUUUGGUGGAGACGGGGAUUCGCUGUGUUGGCCGGGCUGGUCUCCAGCUCCUAACCGCGAGUGAUCCACCAGCCUCGGCCUCCUGAGGUGCCGGGAUUGCAGACGGAGUCUGGUUCACUCAGUGCUCAAUGGCGCCCAGACUGGAGUGCAGUGGCGUGAUCUCAGCUCGCUACAACCUCCACCUCCCAGCCGCCUCCCUUGGCCUCCCAAAGUGCAGAGAUUGCAGCCUCUGCCCGGCCGCCACCCCGCCUGGGAAGUGAGGAGCGUCUCUGCCUGGCCGCCCAUUGUCUGGGAUGUGAGGAGCCCCUCUGCCUGGCUGCCCAGUCUGGAAAGUGAGGAGUGUCUCUGCCUGGCCGCCAUCCCAUCUAGGAAGUGAGGAGCGCCUCUUCCCGGCCGCCAUCCCAUCUAGGAAGUGAGGAGCCUCUCUGCCCAGCCGCCCAUCGUCUGAGAUGUGGGGAGCGCCUCUGCCCCGCCGCCCCGUCUGGGAUGUGAGGAGCGCCUCUACCCCGCCGCGACCCCGUCUGGGAGGUGAGGAGCGUCUCUGCCCGGCGGCCCCGUCUGGGAAGUGAGGAGACCCUCCGCCCGGCAGCCGCCCCAUCUGAGAAGUGAGGAGCCCCUCUGCCCAGCAGCCACCCUGUCUGGGAAGUGAGGAGCGUCUCUGCCCAGCAGCCACCCCGUCUGGGAGGGAGGUGGGGGGUCAGCCCCCCGCCCGGCCAGCCGCCCCGUCCGGGAGGUGAGGGGCGCCUCUGCCCGGCGGCCCCUACUGGGAAGUGAGGAGCCCCUCUGCCCGGCCAGCCGCCCCGUCUGGGAAGUGAGGAGCGUCUCCGCCCAGCAGCCACCCCGUCCGGGAGGGAGGUGGGGGGAUCAGCCCCCCGCCCGGCCAGCCGCCCAGUCCGGGAGGGAGGUGGGGGGGUCAGCCCCCCGCCCGGCCAGCCGCCCCGUCCGGGAGGUGAGGGGUGCCUCUGCCCGGCCGCCCCUACUGGGAAGUGAGGAGCCCCUCUGCCCGGCCAGCCGCCCGGUCCGGGAGGGAGGUGGGGGGGUCAGCCCCCUGCCUGGCAAGCCGCCCCGUCUGGGAGGGAGGUGGGGGGAUCAGCCCCCCGCCGGGCCAGCCACCCCGUCCGGGAGGUGAGGGGUGCCUCUGCCCGGCCGCCCCUACUGGGAAGUGAGGAGCCCCUCUGCCCGGCCAGCCGCCCCAUCCGGGAGUGAGGUGGGGGGGUCAGCCCCCUGCCCGGCCAGCCGCCCCGUCCGGGAGGUGAGGGGCGCCUCUGCCCGGCCGCCCCUACUGGGAAGUGAGGAGCCCCUCUGCCCGGCCACCACCCCGUCUGGGAGGUGUACCCAACAGCUCAUUGAGAACGGGCCAUGAUGACAAUGGCGGUUUUGUGGAAUAGAAAGCGGGGAAAGGUGGGGAAAAGAUUGAGAAAUCGGAUGGUUGCCGUGUCUGUGUAGAAAGAGGUAGACAUGGGAGACUUUUCAUUUUGUUCUGUACUAAGAAAAAUUCUUAUCCUGUUGAUCUGUGACCUUACCCCCAACCCCGUGCUCUCUGAAACAUGUGCUGUGUCCACUCAGGGCUAAAUGGAUUAAGGGCGGUGCAAGAUGUGCUUUGUUAAACAGAUGCUUGAAGGCAGCAUGCUCGUUGAGAGUCAUCACCACUCCCUAAUCUCAAGUAACCAGGGACACAAACACUGUGGAAGGCCGCAGGGUCCUCUGCCUAGGAAAACCAGAGACCUUUGUUCACUUGUUUAUCUGCUGACCUUCCCUCCACUAUUGUCCUAUGACCCUGCCAAAUCCCCCUCUGCGAGAAACACCCAAGAAUGAUCAAUAAAAAAAUAAAAUAAAAUAAAAUAAAAUAAAAUAAAUAAAGUUUCAUGCGCAUCCGUGUGAAGAGACCACCAAACAGGCUUUGUGUGAGCAGCAUGGCUGUUUAUUUCACCUGGGUGCAGGCGGGCUGAGUCCGAAAAGAGAGUCAGCCAAGGGAGAUAAGGGUGGGGCUGUUUUAUAGGAUUUGGGUAGGUAAAGGAAAAUUACAGUCAAAGGGGGUUUGUUCUCUGGCGGGCAGGAGUGGGGGCCGCAAGGUGCUCAGUGGGGGUGCUUUGAGCCAGGAUGAGCCAGGAAAAGGAGUUUCACAAGGUAAUGUCAUCAGUUAAGGCAAGGACCGGCCAUUUACACUUCUUUUGUGGUGGAAUGUCAUCAUUAAGGUGGUGCAGGGCAUAUUCACUUCUUUUGUGAUUCUUCAGUUACUUCAGGCCAUCUGGGCAUAUACGUGCAGGUCACAG
rnacentral:lncRNA from 1 species